AUGAUCACUGUCCUCUUGACAAUAACUGAGUACACAGGUCCUUACCCCAGCUGGAGCUGGAUCAUUCUUUUCCUGGUUACAGCAGCUACAGGUGUCCACUCCCAGGUCCAGCUGCAGCAGUCUGGGUCUCAGCUGGGGAGACCUGGGUCCUCAGUGAAGUUGUCCUACAAGGCUUCUGGCUACACCUUCACCAGCUACUAUAUGCACUGGGUGAAGCAGAAGCCUGGACAGGGCAUGGAGAAGAUUGGAAGGAUUUAUGCUGGAAGUGGUGGUACUAAGUAUGAUCAGAAGUUCAAGGGCAAGGCAACACUGACUGCAGACAAAUCCUCCAGCACAGCGUACAUGGGACUCAGCAGCCUGACAUCUGAGGACUCUGCGAUCUAUUACUGUGUGAGACACACAGUGCUGCAACCACAUCUUGAGUCUGUCAGAAACUCUGGAGGAUCAGGAAGCAUCCACGAGCCUGAGAAGACAGAGGAUAUUAGCCUGGAGAAUUGCUCAGAAAUAAUAAUUUCGAGCAUUCAUUUUUCUGCUUCCUCCUCUCAGUGCUAUAGUGCCUUUGUCAACUUUGUAAGAGGACAUCCAUGA